GCGAAGCAGGGCGCGCCGGGGCUGAGGCGCACACAGCACCUGGACUGCGCGCCCGCUUGCCUCUAGCCCGCUAGCUUCUCUCAGUCCGCCAGCUUCUGCCCCGCGCGGGGAGGGUGGCUGGAGAGGGCUCCCGGCGGGCUCGCCCGAGACCGCCUCAAGCUGUCGGGGGAGUCCAGGGAGGGAGAGCUGGGCAGCCCCGAUUUCUCUAGCUUCUCCUUCUCCUCUGUGGCACUCCAGCCCCGCAGACCAUGGCCACUCCGCGCGCUGCGCUGGGGCUGCUGCUCCUUGGAGCGGUCGGAGCCCUCCCGCAGAAACAAGAGCCAUGUGGAUCCAGGUUGUAUCGCAAUGAGUCUUCUGGGAGAUGCUGCUACCACUGCCCCUCAGAUGAUUUUGCUGCUUACAUCUAACCCCAAGAUGCUGUGGGCAGAGCCUCCUAAAGGAGACUCUUACUCCCUCCAAAGAGCUCAGCCCAAGGACUCACACAGGAGAAGCCAAGUGAAUCAAGACUGUGGUUCAGAUAAUGAUAUGCAGUUACCCAUUUAGAAUUUAUCCAUCAGAAAUAUGUUUUGCAUGCUAAUACAUGUAUAGCACAGAUUGAAUUGAUUGUCAUCUCCUGGAGGGUGGAAGGAAGAAGGGAAGGAGACAAUAUGGAUUGUAUAACUUCAAAAAACUUAUGUUGAAAUUUGUUAUUAAAAUAAAAACAAAAUAAAAU
rnacentral:lncRNA from 1 species